rnacentral:lncRNA from 1 species
GGGUAUGUUAGUGCUGAGAAAUUGGAAAUUUUGUCAUGAAGUUGAAAGUUUUGUUUGCAGUUGUCUUCUACUUCGUUAAUGACUUGGUUUUAAUGUCGUUAAUGUUUUGUCUUCCAACUAAUUUGAUUUGAGCGCUACGUAGGAGGUCUAUGUAGACGAAACCCACAUCUGGAGUAUUAAAUAUAAGCAUGGUUUCGUUGAUGAGUUCUGAUAACUUGUAGAAGAUAUCGAACCAAAACAUGAGCAACAUAAAGGCAAUAUAAUGACAUAAUAGAAACGAC